AUGACUACAGGUGGCAGUCAUGGGAAUGACAUUACUCCAACAACAGAUAAGGUGUUUGGGUUGGAGGGUGAUGUCAUAAAGCUGUCCUGUAACUACUCCUCUGCUAGUAAUCUCCAGUGGUAUCGACAGUACCCUGGAUCAUCUCCCAUCUUCCUCAUCCACACUGGAGUGUCCUCAAACCUCUCUGUAGUGAAAGCUAAACCUGAAGUCUCUCGUCUGGAUCCUCGACUGUCAGUCAAACUAAAUGAUAAGAAGACCUGUGUGGAUCUGGGGAGCUCUUAUGCUGAACUGACAGAUUCUGCUCUGUACUAUUGUGCUGUGGAGCCCACAACUGUCCUCCACAGUUAUGAAGUCCAGUGA